GCAGUCGACGCUUCUUUCUCCCGAGUGCUUGCACUCAUUUGGAAAGAGGAGUGGCGGACGGGUGAGUAACACGUGGGUAACCUACCCAUCAGAGGGGGAUAACACUUGGAAACAGGUGCUAAUACCGCAUAACAGUUUAUGCCGCAUGGCAUAAGAGUGAAAGGCGCUUUCGGGUGUCACUGAUGGAUGGACCCGCGGUGCAUUAGCUAGUUGGUGAGGUAACGGCUCACCAAGGCCACGAUGCAUAGCCGACCUGAGAGGGUGAUCGGCCACACUGGGACUGAGACACGGCCCAGACUCCUACGGGAGGCAGCAGUAGGGAAUCUUCGGCAAUGGACGAAAGUCUGGCCGAGCAACGCCGCGUGAGUGAAGAAGGUUUUCGGAUCGUAAAACUCUGUUGUUAGAGAAGAACAAGGACGUUAGUAACUGAACGUCCCCUGACGGUAUCUAACCAGAAAGCCACGGCUAACUACGUGCCAGCAGCCGCGGUAAUACGUAGGUGGCAAGCGUUGUCCGGAUUUAUUGGGCGUAAAGCGAGCGCAGGCGGUUUCUUAAGUCUGAUGUGAAAGCCCCCGGCUCAACCGGGGAGGGUCAUUGGAAACUGGGAGACUUGAGUGCAGAAGAGGAGAGUGGAAUUCCAUGUGUAGCGGUGAAAUGCGUAGAUAUAUGGAGGAACCCAGUGGCGAGGCGGCUCUCUGGUCUUAACUGACGCUGAGCUCGAAAGCGUGGGAGCA
rnacentral:rRNA from 1 species